rnacentral:rRNA from 1 species
AACGAACGCUGGCGGCAUGCCUAACACAUGCAAGUCGAACGAGACCUUCGGGUCUAGUUGCGCACGGGUGCGUAACGCGUGGGAACCUGCCCUUAGGUUCGGAAUAACUCCCCGAAAGGGGUGCUAAUACCGGAUAAUGUCUUCGGACCAAAGAUUUAUCGCCUUUGGAUGGGCCCGCGUUGGAUUAGCUAGUUGGUAGGGUAAAAGCCUACCAAGGCGACGACCGAUAGCUGGUCUGAGAGGAUGAUCAGCCACACUGGGACUGAGACACGGCCCAGACUCCUACGGGAGGCAGCCGUGGGGAAUAUUGGACAAUGGGCGAAAGCCUGAUCCAGCAAUGCCGCGUGAGUGAUGAAGGCCUUAGGGUUGUAAAGCUCUUUUACCCGGGAUGAUAAUGACAGUACCGGGAGAAUAAGCUCCGGCUAACUCCGUG